ACAGACAGACAGACACAUCACUUGGGACAAAAAAACCAAAGCAAAAGCCAGAGGUCAUUAUCGUAUCCUGAAGAACUAGGAGGGAGAAACAGCUCAGUGGGUCACGGGAAGGCUAGGAUAGGAUGGACUGGCCCCUGUGCGCCCCUGCGCACAGCAGACAUACUAGGCAGAGCGGCAGCCCUGGGUUUCAGUUCUGACUCUGCUGUGUUACCCUGGAGCAGUUGCUGCCCCUCCCUGGGUCACUCUUCUGCUUCUAACAAAGAGAGAGCUGCAGUUGGUGAUUUCUGAGGCAACCAAAAUUCUCAAAGACUCUGCAGCAGUUGUAUAACAUAACAGGGAGGGGGCCCGGGAGCCUUGGGAGUCCGAUUAGAGUAAUAAGAGGCCCCUCCUCAGGGGCUGCCCCACCCCUGCAGCCUCCUCCCCCUUCUAGGCUGGGCUCUCCCCUGGGUUGAAGCACCUGAAGCCAACAGCACCCCCUGCCCCCUAGUACCUAUAAACACAUGUGCUCCUCUAAGCCUGAGCCAUGUGUUUCACCCUCUCUGGACCUUAGGCUUUCCAGGUUUGUGUCUUUAGGGGCUCACAUUCGGGCUCUGUGCCGGUGAGCCAGUCUAUGUGUGCACUGUCUGUCUGUCUGU
rnacentral:misc_RNA from 1 species